AAGCAGAUGUCCUCUUGGCAGAUACACCACCGACCUCUCGUUCCAGCAAGCUCUGCUCCACCUCAGAGACGAGGAGAGGGACAGUCCCGCUCCUGAGCGGCCAGGCUGAUUUUUAUUAGGCCUUCCUCCGGAAAUAAGAAGUAUGGUGAGGCGAGGUGAUCUUCCCCUGCGGCUGCUGGUGUGGAUUAUGGAGCUGGCAGCAGCAGGAACGCAUUAAGGAAAGCUCCCAGCAACGGCCUUCCAGAAAGGUCCUCAUGAGCCUUCCCCUGCUGCUUUCAUGCUGGCAGCUUCAAUUUUCAAGGCCUUCUCCUGAUCCUGGUGUGACACAGAAAUGGGAGGAUUUGUGUGGACCUGGUACCUGGGCAAGAAACGUUUCUGCUGCAGCUGCAUCCCCAUCCUGCUUGAUGCUACCCCUGCAGACACAGGGUGGCACAAUGCUGACGGCAGCCCCAACACCUGGCAAAAUCACCCAAAGGCUGGACCAUCAGAGCUGGUGGAAGGUCAAUAACUCACAGAGGGAGAAGCCCCUGAAGCAGAACCUGAGAAAGCAGCUGGGCUGGGUUUCAUCCCAUUGAACUCAAGUCAGCGUUUUGUCUGUCUCAGCCAGUGAGAAAAACAGGCACCUUUGGGAACUAUUAAUUGGUAAUAAUUUGAAUUUCUUUUUAAAAUAAAAUUUAAAACAUCCUACAAGCAUACAGACAUGAUAGUUUUCCUCUUACAUGUCCACAGCCAAACCUUGCAUCUAGCCCAAGUCUGGAGGAGGGGAGGAGAUUCCUCUGGCCAUGCCAGUCCUUUUGAUCAUCCAGGGCUUCUAGAGCUCUUUCCAUAAACUCCCCUAAAUCAGGGAAUUGGAAGAAAUAAUGUGCUUUUUCUCAAUAGUUCUCCCCUCCUCCACCAGCUCUAAAGACUCAUCACAGCUUGUCACCCAAAAUGAAGGAUGGAGGCAGCACUGAAAUUCUCCCAUCCUGCCUCUGCCUAGCCGGAGAGCAGGAUGGUACUUCUGACCUCCAGCUGAGGUACACCAGCAUCUUGCCAGCCUAUAAAAUCAAGUUUCACCAAUUAACUUUCAGUAGUGGAGGGUCUAGAAGUACUCAGCUCUAAUCCCAGAUAGUGUGUGACAAUUUUCAGUGUGCUCAUUCCAAGUGUUGAAUGGGCUUCAGUGUUUCCUACAGCUCUGUAAUAUAUGCCACAAAUAUAUAAAUCUUUUCUGUGGUACAGAAGAGAGAAAAUUCUCAAAAUGCUGACUGCAGCAAAAAUAGAAACGUCUCCUCAUCAUCUCCUGGUUUUAGUGGUUUGUGUCUAAAUAUCUCUAGAACUCCAGCCUCACCUAUUGUUUAGAAAUGCCUGUGAUUUCUGUGCUGUUUUCUUGACAGACAGCUAGGAAUCCCUUUGUGAUUUGGAAUUUAACUUCAUCUCACCUUAACCUUCCCCAUCUGACAAAGGUGUUGCCAGGAUUAAUUAAUAGCAUAAGGUGGUGAUUAAUGAGUAGAUAUUACAAAACACAACGUGCCACCGGAUGCUGAGGAUUUUUGGGGAAGUUUGGAGAUCUGCAUUCCUAAGGAGCUAGUCUGAGCUUGACCUCUCUCAAUUAUAAAAUCGUCAUACAUACUCCACGAAAUGGAAAUGUUCUCUCAUGUUCACUUUUGGUAAC